rnacentral:lncRNA from 1 species
AAAGAAUUACCUGAAUGGAGUGAAAAAGUGGCUCACAACAUUUUGUCAGGUGCUUCCUGGGUGAGUUGGGGUUUAGUCAAAGGUGCUGAGAUUACUGGUAAGGCAAUCCAGAAAGGUGCUUCUAAACUCCGAGAGCGGAUUCAACCAGAAGAAAAACCCGUGGAAGUUAGUCCAGCUGUCACCAAGGGACUUUAUAUAGCGAAGCAAGCUACAGGAGGAGCAGCAAAAGUCAGUCAGUUCCUGGGUAAAUUGAUGGAGUUUGCACUGUAGCAAAUUGCGUUGGAAAAGAACUAGCUCCACAUGUCAAGAAGCAUGGAAGCAAACUUGUUCCAGAAUCUCUUAAAAAAGACAAAGAUGGGAAAUCUCCUCUGGAUGGUGCUAUGGUUGUAGCAGCAAGUAGUGUUCAAGGAUUUUCAACUGUCUGGCAAGGAUUGGAAUGUGCAGCUAAAUGCAUCGUUAACAAUGUUUCAGCAGAAACUGUACAAACUGUCAGAUACAAAUACGGAUAUAAUGCAGGAGAAGCUACCCACCAUGCGGUGGAUUCUGCGGUCAAUGUUGGCGUAACUGCCUACAAUAUUAACAACAUUGGUAUCAAAGCAAUGGUGAAGAAAACUGCAACACAAACAGGACACACUCUCCUUGAGGACUAUCAGAUAGUUGAUAAUUCUCAGAGGG